rnacentral:misc_RNA from 1 species
AAGUGAGCGCGACCCCCGCACACGAAAACGGGGAAACACCCAUGCGCCGACAAAGGUACUCACUCCCGCGCACUGGGUAGGCGGAAUGCUGAGCGGCAUCGCCGGCAUCUGUCUGUGCGCGGUAGGCGGCACAGGUGGCGCUGCUGCCUGUUGUGCGGCAUGCUCCCGCAUGCCCUGACGUGUGUUCCUUCCCCGAUUGCCCGCGCAGCUCGAGCGCUGGCGGGUGCGGCGCAGAUUGCGUGGUGCUGGACCCCGGCCAGCGCCGGCCGUGGGUCUGCGGCACGACCCACCCGCCGCUGCGCACGAACGAGCCGCGGGAGACAGCGCGGAAGGCCUGCUGAGCGGUGUGCGCGCCACGUGCCCGGCGAGCGUUGUCGAGGACGGCCCCGUCGCGCACGAGCGCCUCGUCGCCAUGGCGCGGGAGGCGGCGCAGAGGGCGGGGAGUCCGCGGCGGUGCAGCCGGGCAUGCCGGUUGAGGGUCGCUCUCAACAGCGACGAAGCGGAAGUACCCCCCAACCCUCCCCCCGGUGCUGCAGGAGUUGCUUGCGACGGGGAUGCGAACGGCGUUUGCCUUGGAGGAGGAGCCGUCAGGGUACUGCACGGGGAACUCACUGGGAGCCUGAAAUUGGACCCGCUGGUGCGUGGCCUGCGGCGACUGUGGUUGAGGGUCGGGCCCGUGGUGAUUGCUGCUCGUGGACGGCGGCGGCCUCUGUGUGGUGGCGCUUUACGCUGGCUGGCCGAUGGCAGGCCGCGCUUUCCGGGAGCGCCGAGGGUGAGGUGGACAAGCGGUGCUGGUGUGCCGCAGCGAGCACGCGACGGCGCAGCAGGCCGCCGCCGACGACCGGCGCUGUGUGCGGCAUCUGCGCCGACGCGACAUUGGGCGGAUGGGGAGCCGCUGGCGUGAGGCGGGCGACAGAGGCAGCCGGCAUCACGGGCACGCGAUGGGGACGUGGCCCCGCCGACGGCGUAGGUGCGGCAACGCACCGGGCGGUGCAGGGCGCAUUUGAAGCCUUGGGCUGUGUGCUGAAUUUGCUGUUGACUUAUGUGCCGGUGACGCUUUUCGUCUCUGCUUUCCUUGAGGAGUACUUAGAGUGUGGCAGAUUGUGCGAUUUGUGACGACUUUAUGACGCACCUGCCGUGCGGGGUGCAGGGUUGAUUGCACACUCUUCGGCGAGAUUGCUGCGGACAUCUGCAGGGCGGUGAUCCUGCAUGAAUGUGCGAAGGAACAGAAGUGGUGCUACUGGGAAUGGAGCCGGAAAGCUGGAAGGACCGUUUGCCCUGCACUCUCGUCGGUACCCGUGUCCUGGUGUGCUCGGGUAAGGACGCGCUUGUGUAAAGGCGUGCUCGAUACCGGCCCGUGUGGCCCCGUGGUGUAGGGGGCAGGGCCGCAGACGUGAAGUCUGAUCGACGGAGACGAAUAUAUGCUGAGCCGCUCUUGCCCUCCGUGUGACUUUUUCUCUCUUCCCGCUCUGUUUCUCUCUGACGCUGGCGAGCGAACGGAAAUGUCGACAUGCGUUCACUCCCGCCCACAG